GUGGGGAAUAUUGCACAAUGGGGGAAACCCUGAUGCAGCGACGCCGCGUGAAGGAAGAAGUAUCUCGGUAUGUAAACUUCUAUCAGCAGGGAAGAUAAUGACGGUACCUGACUAAGAAGCCCCGGCUAACUACGUGCCAGCAGCCGCGGUAAUACGUAGGGGGCAAGCGUUAUCCGGAUUUACUGGGUGUAAAGGGAGCGUAGACGGCGCAGCAAGUCUGAUGUGAAAGGCAGGGGCUUAACCCCUGGACUGCAUUGGAAACUGCUGUGCUUGAGUGCCGGAGGGGUAAGCGGAAUUCCUAGUGUAGCGGUGAAAUGCGUAGAUAUUAGGAGGAACACCAGUGGCGAAGGCGGCUUACUGGACGAUAACUGACGCUGAGGCUCGAAAGCGUGGGGAGCAAACAGGA
rnacentral:rRNA from 1 species